UGCCUUUAGAGAUCUCUUUCCUUUCCCGCAGCCGAGCAGCGCUGGGGUGGGAGAUGCGGAGCGGGGAGCCGGCGUGGCGGGACGCAUCCCGGCCGUGGGAGAUGCCGUGGGUGGCUGGACGGAGCAGCGCAGGGUGGCGAGGUGCAGGUGGAGAGGGGGGCUGCAUCCCAGGCUCCGCGUUUGCCACCUCGAGAGCUUGCUGUUGGGUCUCCAACACCACCCAGCCGGCGAAAGGAGAGGAGAGUCGUAUGCUGGCUUCGCAGCCAGACUCAACCAGCAAAUGCCAGCUCGGCCAGUGGCCGCGAUAAAGGAGCCUUUUGGACUAACAACUAGGAGCUGGUGGGGAGGCCGCAGCCCUCGCCUUCCCCUGUGCCUUGGGAUCCGCGUGUGGGUGUCCCGGCACGGCCGUGGCCACGCUCCCGUCCUCCUGGCCACGCGGGUGUCCACCGUGCUGGUGGCCUCUGCUCCCCGCUGGGGCUGUCCCCUCCCCGCAGCAGUCCCGGCGCGACCGUGUACUUGCACACCCGCGGCGAACGCUCGGGGGUGGUUCGUUAGAGGGAGUCGAGUUGGGAAUUUCGUAGGGCGAGGAGCUGCCAGACUCCACAGCCCUGCGCCCCCGGGAAUUACCCCGCCACCCAGGCGCGUCCCGCACGCGCUGCGCGGGGCUGCCAUCGCUUGCGGCAGAGGUGACGGGGAGCUGAGCUGGGGGAGGAAAUGACUUUGUAAUGAGAACGUCGGCGCUCUUGAAUCGGGCACAAGCUCAAGUCUGAGGACGGGGCUGAGCCAUGAGGCCAAAGGAGAGCGUUCCCUCGCCGGUGGGCUGCCAGGCGCCGGCAUGCCGGCCUCGCGGGGCUGGUGGCCGUGUCCCCUUCGGCAGGGGAAAGUCGUGCUUUCCGGAGCAGCAGUUUGUUUAUUUUAUUUAAUGGCGACCAGAGGGUCACAUUUAUGCAGGAAACCGAAAUUACACAGGUUCCCCUUGUGUUUACAAUACAAUUGUGGGAGCAGAUCCUGAGCUGGCGUACGUGGACGUCGCUCUCCUGACCUCGGUGGCACGACAGCAACCUGUGCAGGAGCAUCCGCGACUCAAGGAAAAGACGGGGAGGGCAGCGCUUGGCGUUAUCCCAGCGGGAGCGUUUGCAAAGGGCGACCUGGGGACACCAAAACCCGUCUUUCUGCACCAGCGAGGGGUUGGUGUUGGUAGGGAAGACACAAUUUGUGUCCCGAAGUGAACGUCACAGUAGAUCUGACGUUGGAGACGUGGGAAGAGCCGGGAAGGGAGCAGGCAGCUGGAAAACCACCAAGAGACGAAGGAGUGCAGCUUGGAUGCAUCCAAACCUCUCCACGCCCCCGGAUGAGCCCAGGGAAUUCUCUAAAGAAGCCCAAAGCACCCUUUAAAACCACAAGUGAUGUUUUAUGACCUUCCCGGAGAGAGGAAGGUCGUGUUAUCCCCCCGUCCACAGGGCUGCUAUGGAGGCGCAGUCUGGGAUCCGGCCAGCGUCCUGGAGGGAGUCGAUGGCAGCGUUGUUUAGGUUGGAGCUGCCAAAGACGUUGACAGAGGAAAUAUUUUGUGUUCCCACAGAAAGAAAUCCUGCUGCAAAGUUUUUUAUUGAGCAAAAAGAAACGCUUGUGCUGAAAAAAAAAAAAUAAUAAAAAUCAGAGCCGCAGCCAAAGCACAACUGAAAUGCAGCGAGCGCUUAGGAAACAUUUGUUAAGCCCCAAGAACCUUUGCUUGCCACAAGCAAGAGUCUCCCUGCACAUGUUGCUUACAUUAAUUUCCCUCUGCAUUAAGGCUCUUUAUUUUAUUAACUUUAGUGUUUAUGAAAACAACCAUCAAAG